rnacentral:rRNA from 1 species
UUUAGCAUGGAAUAAUGGAAUAGGACUCGCGUCUUAUUUUGUUGGUUUGGAGAUGUGAGUAAUGAUGAAUAGGGACAGUUGGGGGCAUUGGUAUUCAGUAGUCAGAGGUGAAAUUCUUGGAUUUACUGAAGACUAACUAGUGCGAAAGCAUUUGCCAAGGAUGUUUUCAUUGAUCAAGAACGAAAGUUAGAGGAUCGAAGACGAUUAGAUACCGUCGUAGUCUUAACCAUAAACGAUGCCGACUAGGGAUCGGCGGAGGACGUUUAGCGUUGCCGCCGGGACCUUGCGAGAAAUCAAAGUUUUUGGGUUCUGGGGGGAGUAUGGUCGCAAGGCUGAAACUUAAAGGAAUUGACGGAAGGGCACCACCAGGAGUGGAGCCUGCGGCUUAAUUUGACUCAACACGGGAAAACUCACCAGGUCCGGACAUGGUAAGGAUUGACAGAAUGAGAGCUCUUUCAAGAUUCUAUGGGUGGUGGUGCAUGGUCGUUCUUAGUUGGUGGAGUGAUUUGUCUGGUUAAUUCCGAUAACGAACGAGACCUCUACCUGUCAUACUACAGCAGUUGAUGUGAAUCGGCUGGUGUUCUAUGAGGGACUGACUGGGGUUACCAGUAGGAAGUUUGAGGCAAUAACAGGUCUGUGAUGCCCUUAGAUGUUCUGGGCUGCACGCGCGCUACACUGAUGGAGGCAGCGAGUCUUACCUGAACCGGAAGGUUUGGGAAAUCUUGUGAAACUCCAUCGUGCUGGGGAUAGGGCAUUGCAAUA